UAGUGCUGCAAUGUUAAACAUUGUAGUUCCAGAGAAAAAAACUGCAAUGUUUACAUUGCAGCACUA